rnacentral:lncRNA from 1 species
CCCUAUAUUCGGUGACUAGUACUCGAUUUCCUUUGCAAAGUUAGACCUAUGCUUAGAUACUUCUAGCAGGUUCAUUAAUUAAAGGGAGCCUUCUCCCUGAUUGUUUAGGAUUGGUACUGCUGAAUAUUUUCUUGCCUUAAAGGUUGCAUUCUUUCAAACUAUAAAUAGGCCAAAUCUAUUUGUGUAUUUUAAUUUAAGUUAGCAUGUUUAAUCCCCUUCCCCUUUUCCUUUGUCUGUUCAGUUUAAGCUUUAACAUGUUGAAUCCCUUUCCCCAUUUCCCUUGUCUGUGUGUUUGUCUGUUCAGUUUAAGCUUUAACAUGUUUAAUCCCUUUCCCCAUUUCCUUGUCUGUGUGUAGUUCAGUUGCAACAUAUUUAGUUCUCCAUUUUUCCUUGU